rnacentral:rRNA from 1 species
GAAGGACGUGGCACGCUGCGAAAAGCCGCGGGGAGAUGCGAGCGAUCGUUGAUCCGCGGAUGUCCGAAUGGGGAAACCCACCCUUACGAGGGUAUCGGGGCCUGAAUACAUAGGGUUUCGAGGCAAACCCGGGGAACUGAAACAUCUCAGUACCUGGAGGAACAGACAUCAACCGAGAUUCCGCGAGUAGUGGCGAGCGAAAGCGGAUUAGGCCAGUGGUCGUUGUGUGAGAAGCCGAGAGGUCUGGAAAGGCCUGCCGCAGUGGGUGAUAGCCCCGUAGGCGUAGAGCGCACGGCGAUCCUUGAGUAGGGCGAGGCACGUGAAACCUUGUCUGAACAUGGGGGGACCACCCUCCAAGCCUAAAUACUCCUUGGCGACCGAUAGUGCACAAGUACCGUGAGGGAAAGGUGAAAAGCACCCCGAUGAGGGGAGUGAAAGAGACCUGAAACCGAGCGCCUACAAGCAGUCGGAGCGGGCCUGUCCCGUGACGGCGUACCUUUUGUAUAAUGGGUCCGCGAGUUUCUGUUGGCAGCGAGCUUAAGCCGUGAGGUGUAGGCGGAGCGAAAGCGAGUCCGAACAGGGCGCCUAGUUGCCGGCAGAAGACCCGAAACCGAGUGAUCUAGCCAUGGCCAGGCUGAAGGUGCGGUAACACGCACUGGAGGGCCGAACCCACGCCUGUUGAAAAAGUCGGGGAUGAGCUGUGGCUAGGGGUGAAAGGCCAAUCAAACUCGGAAAUAGCUGGUUCUCCGCGAAAUCUAUUGAGGUAGAUCGUCGCUCGAUUACCGCCGGAGGUAGAGCACCGGAAGGGCUAGGGGGGCCCAAAGCCCUACCAAACCCUACCGAACUCCGAAUGCCGGCGAGUACAGGGCGGCAGACAGACAGUGGGUGCUAAGGUCCAUUGUCGAGAGGGAAACAGCCCAGACCACCAGCUAAGGCCCCCAAAUGAUGGCUAAGUGGGAAAGCAUGUAGGACGGCCAUAACAACCAGGAGGUUGGCUUAGAAGCAGCCAUCCUUUAAAGAAAGCGUAAUAGCUCACUGGUCUAAUAGCUGUCCCGCGGCGAAAAUGUAACGGGGCUCAAGCCAUCUGCCGAAGCUGUGGAUGCUCGAAAGAGCGUGGUAGCGGAGCGUUCCCUAAGCCUG